rnacentral:rRNA from 1 species
UCCUACGGGAGGCAACAGUGGGGAAUCUUCCGCAAUGGGCGCNAGCCUNACGGAGCAACGCCGCGUGAGUGAAGAAGGUUUUCGGAUCGUAAAGCUCUGUUGAGAGGGACGAGAGGCAAGGCUAGGAAAUGAAGCUUUGUA